rnacentral:rRNA from 1 species
GAUGACCGCUGGCGGCGUGCCUAAUACAUGCAAGUCGAGCGAAUGGAUUAAGAGCUUGCUCUUAUGAAGUUAGCGGCGGACGGGUGAGUAACACGUGGGUAACCUGCCCAUAAGACUGGGAUAACUCCGGGAAACCGGGGCUAAUACCGGAUAACAUUUUGAACCGCAUGGUUCGAAAUUGAAAGGCGGCUUCGGCUGUCACUUAUGGAUGGACCCGCGUCGCAUUAGCUAGUUGGUGAGGUAACGGCUCACCAAGGCAACGAUGCGUAGCCGACCUGAGAGGGUGAUCGGCCACACUGGGACUGAGACACGGCCCAGACUCCUACGGGAGGCAGCAGUAGGGAAUCUUCCGCAAUGGACGAAAGUCUGACGGAGCAACGCCGCGUGAGUGAUGAAGGCUUUCGGGUCGUAAAACUCUGUUGUUAGGGAAGAACAAGUGCUAGUUGAAUAAGCUGGCACCUUGACGGUACCUGCAGAAAAAGCACCGGCUAACUACGUGCCAGCCGCCGCAGUAA